UGGUUUUGUAGAAAGGAGUCAUGUGAUCUAUUAGCAGUUCGCUGAAUGGCCUGCUUGAGAUCAGCUGAUGUAGCUGGGAUGUGAGCUGAGCUUGACUCCAUGGCCUACCUGAACUAACGCUAUGCUCAGGACCUUGUUAGUCAAAGAAAGCUUUAUUUCCAUUGCAUUUCAAUAUUUGGCAGUAUGGCUCUGACCCGGGACUGGUGGACAGAAAACUUCGCCCCCACUCCUGGCGGGAAUCCCGACUCACCUUUACCGGGCCUCGGCCCUACCCUCCCGGCGGAAGCGUCUCCGUCGCCAUGGUAAACGCAGCGGCCGGCAGGUGAAGCUGAAAGUCUGGUUGGCAUGCUCUCCGUCCAUUUCCCAGUUGGGACAUGGAUUAUACCCUCCCUUCGCUGUGCCCGGCCCUUCCUGGAUCCCAUUGACGCCUGCCUGGUACCUGUCACUAGCUCAGUUAAGGGACUCCGGCCCUGCUGUCCCUGCCUUCCUCAGCUCUCUCAGCAUGGGGGAUGCCAAACCACAGGCCCCAGCUCCUGCCAGGGUUGGUCUGGUAAACGCCAGAUCUCUGGCAAAUAAAACUUUUAUCCUGAGGGAUUUCUUCAGCUCCCAGAGCCUGGAUUUCCUCUGUGUGACAGAGACUUGGAUCGGUGCCGGUGAGUGCAGCGCUCUUGUCGAACUUUUACCGGCUGGUUGUUCUUACUUUAACUCCCUGCAGACGUUGGGUCGUGGAGGAGGAACAGCGACUGUUUAUAAAAAUGGUUUUAAAUGUAAGCAGCGCGCUGUAUCAUCCUCAUUCUCCAGCAUUGAAGUGACUUUAUUUGAGGUGGAUUGCUCUGACCUGGUGCUGGGCGCUGUUAUCUACCGACCCCCCAAAUACAACACUUUGUGAAUGACUUUUCUGAUCUUCUGGCUGAAAUUAUGCCUAAUCAUGACCGUGCCCUUUUUGUUGGAGAUUUUAAAAUCAAUGUUUGUUGUCCUGAUAAGCCAUUGGUGAAGGACUUUUUUUGACUCUUUUAAUUUGGUACCACACACGAAUAUGGACAUACAUUAGACCUCAUCCUCUCAUAUGGUUUGUCUGUGUCUAACUUGGAGAUCUGUGACAAUGUGAUUUCUGAUCAUAUGCCAGUAUUAUUCGAAGUUGGUUUCUUACGUGUUGCAGUUAAAAAGCUCUGUGUCCCCUCUGACUCAACAUCUGUUGACAUGGAGGAGCUCAGUUCCUGGUGUCACUCCUCCUGCCGAAACAUACUGGACUCUGUGGCUUCAUUAAAAACUGUGCAGCCUACAGCUAAACCUGAGCCCUGGUUCAACGACAGAACUCGCGCAGCCAGACAGGAGUGAAGCUGAACGCAGGUUGGAGAAGGGCAAGCUGCAGGUUUCUUUCCAAAUCCUAAAGGACUGUUGGCACCAUUACCAAAACAGUGAGCACGUUUACAUGCGCACAAUAAUCAGAUAACUGGGAAUAAUCAGGGUAUGAUGGCUGUGCAAGAGGCUGACAGAGUUUGAGAAAUCCUCUUGGGAAUGGGUCCAAAUAUCCCAGAUAUCAUCAAGAUACCUGAAGUGUUGUGCUGAAACCAGGCGGGAUCCUGUGUGGUAUGGUCCACUUUUCUUGAGGUUUUUGGAUCUUUGGUAGGGGAUGGAAGUACCUCUGUCUGGCUGGAUUCUCUUGUUUUAGCCACUGUCUGGAUCACUGGAGACAGCUAUGUCCAGCAUGGGGCUGAGAGAGCGACAGAGACCAUGGGGAACAGCCUUGGUGUUAAUGAUAUCUACAUCCACUUGUUCAGCUGAGGUGUUCUGAGGUAGAAGAGCCUUCCCCCCUUCUUCAUCCAGUCUCUAUGAGCCAGAGUAGUCCCAGAUGUCCUCUUCAUCCACUGUGGUGGGAAUGACCAUGUCUCAAGUGUCAACCUCAUCACAGCAAAAAAGGAGGACCUGCAGCACCUUCACCUGCAGCAUCCAGACAUGAAGAUCAUCUUCUCUGGCACCAACCAGAGAUGCAGGUGGAAGGCUGCUGCCAGCCCAGGGAAGAUUGACAAGGCCCACAGAAGAAACAACGAUCUCAUAAGAAGACUGUGGCUGAUGAGAAGAAACAGCACUCCGGCCAUCAGACAAGACCUACUGACACCACCUCAGACGCUCAAACUGCGUCACAAAAGGAAGCCAUGAGGAAUUUUUGGCAUUGGCCGUUGAUCAACUACGGGAGAAAACAUCGCAUCACACCAGUCAACAUCACCAACGCUGAAAAGACGGACUCACCAAACCCUGAGAGGAGGUAGUGACAUUCAUCCCAUGCUGCUUUCAGUGUCUGGAGCUGAGAAGUGGAGCAGACGGCCAGGGUAAUGGCAGCUUGAGGCUUGACUGAGGCAGGUGAAGGAGUCAGCAGGCAAGGCAGGUCUGAAGCAGAUGACUUGGUGAUGGUUGGCUGGAGACAGAGGAGAUUGGAGUCAGGAGCGAAGGCACCAAAACAGGUGAACAACAUCUACGGCCGGCACGAUCUCCUUAAGAUAGGAGUUUGUUACAAGCAAAGUAUUACAGCCAAGUUUCUCCGCUUACACAAGAUACCGGCGGACAUAGCACGCCGUCCCGGCUCCCCGUGGAUUACCAUCCCCGCAGGAAGGAGGCGAAGGCGGCGCAGAGAGAGAAGGCAAAAGCAGGGCUGCAGGGCUGGCGCACUAGCCAGGCUACGGAGGCAGCCACUCAAACCUCUGCUUCCCAGCCUGUUUCUCACGAACGCCAGAUCCCUCGCCAAUAAGAUGGAUGAGCUGAGGCUACAGAUUGCAGCCAACCAUGAAGGAUAGCUCCAUUCUGCUGAUCACGGAGACCUGGCUUCAUCCACUCAUCCCGGACUCUGCAACUGAGAUAACAGGCUACACCGCACAGCGACGUGACAGGACAGAGAGCUCCGGUAAGAGCAGAGGAGAGGGGCUGUGUGUGUACGUGAAUAACAGAUGGUGUACCAAUACAGUGACUGUAGACAGCCACUGCUCCCCGGACUUAGAGUAUGUGACUGUGAAAUGCAGGCCUA